rnacentral:rRNA from 1 species
AACGAACGCUGGCGGCAGGCUUAACACAUGCAAGUCGAACGCCCCGCAAGGGGAGUGGCAGACGGGUGAGUAACACGUGGGAACAUGCCCAAAGGUACGGAAUAUUCUCGGGAAACUGAGAGCAAUACCGAAUGUGCCCGAAAGGGGAAAGAUUUAUCGCCUUUGGAUUGGCCCGCGUCGGAUUAGCUAGUUGGUGGGGUAAAAGCCUACCAAGGCGACGAUCCGUAGCUGGUCUGAGAGGACGACCAGCCACACUGGGACUGAGACACGGCCCAGACUCCUACGGGAGGCAGCAGUGGGGAAUCUUGGACAAUGGGCGCAAGCCUGAUCCAGCCAUGCCGCGUGGAUGAUGAAGGCCCUAGGGUUGUAAAAUCCUUUCGUUGGGGACGAUAAUGACGGUACCCAAAGAAGAAGCUCCGGCUAACUUCGUG